CCUGGAGAGGAAGUCAUUGACAGAGCAGAGCCCAAAUCUCCUGAUCUGGAUGGGGUGCCAUUGGAUAGUAUUCCUCUGGAGAGAGGUGAAAUUGAUGGUACACCCCUUGAUGACCUUGAUGGAUCACCUUUGACCUGGGAUCCGUCCUCUAUAGAUGGUGUACCGGUUGAUGACAUAGACGGUGUUCCCCUAGGAAACUCAGUAGAUGAUAUCGAUGGUGUGCCAUUUGAUGAAGGCUCAGAUAAGACUUUACCCACUGUUGCACUGUCUAAAUGGGAGAAGGUGGAGGAUUCCGAAU